CAAUGUGAUUUUGGCCUAGUAGUUGGGGCAACUUGGCCACUAGUCAGAGUCAACACACAGCCAUUGAUCGGUGCAGCGUUACAAACUUUAGUGUUUAGUAAUAUCAAUGGUAUAUUGGUAGCAAUAUUGGUAUACCUCCUUUAGCCUAGGAUGCAAGUCCCAUUGACUUGGGCUUAUCUUCCAAUUGAGAUGACUAUAGUGUUGGGGCAACUUGACACUAUGGGUUGAGCCAUAGAGGGUGAAAGUCCCUUAACGUCCAGGUAUUGAUAUUACGAACUAGAGAGCCAGCAAUGGCAUUUUGUUAGAGUCGGGUUGCUUGAGAGUGCAACCUAAAGAGCGAGGUAAACUGCUCGUAAGGCUAUUAGGAGUAAUAUCGCUAUGACACCGAUAGCAAACAAGUACCGUGAGGGAAAGUUGCAAAGUACUUUGAAGAGAGAGUUAAACAGGGCGUGAAACCGCUAGCUGGUAAACGAGUAGAGCCACGAAGUCGUUUCGUAGAAUAAGAGAUACAGAUUCAGUUAAGGUUGGCGCAAGUUGGCUUUGGUGCAUUUCUGUUCAUCUCUCUAUGUAUAUGCGUACACUGCAACCAAUUAGACGAUCAAUUGUGGAAAUAGCUAGCCUACAUUGGGAGAAAUCUUAGUGUUAGUUAGCGGAAAUGCUUAUAUACUGCCUUCCGUAGGUUGUUCGAUUUGAUCCUCGUGGUCAUCUUGAGCGUAUGAUGGGGUGGUAUGAGAGCUACGAUUGAAUACUGAUUGGCACAAUGAAAAUCCAUUCGCAAGAAUGGUCCCAGAUAACACUACCUGUGUCGUAUGUGUGUACAAGUGUUUAUUAUUAGCGUAAGCUUGGUAGUUUUAAAUUUAGACUGGUGGGCUAUCUUUGGUUUCGGCCCUUGAUGCCUAUUCAGCUUUCUAUCUAAUUGGCUAUCAACUUUGCUAGUAAUCUUGUGCUUGCCAAUGGUAGCAUGCAUGCGACAAUGGGCAAGUAAUCU
rnacentral:rRNA from 1 species